UCGAUUCCGGAGAGGGAGCCUGAGAAACGGCUACCACAUCCAAGGAAGGCAGCAGGCGCGCAAAUUACCCAAUCCCAAUACGGGGAGGUAGUGACAAUAAAUAACAAUAUGGGGCUCUUACGGGUCUCGUAAUUGGAAUGAGUACAAUUUAAAUCUCUUAACGAGGAACAAUUGGAGGGCAAGUCUGGUGCCAGCAGCCGCGGUAAUUCCAGCUCCAAUAGCGUAUAUUAAAGUUGUUGCAGUUAAAAAGCUCGUAGUUGAAUUUCGGGGUCUGUCCAUUGGUCGGGCUUCACGGUCCGUACUGGUGUGAUGGGUUCCUACCUUCUGAAUAACCAGCAUGCCAUUCAGUUGGUGCGCCGGGGAAGCAGAGCUAUUACCUUGAAAAAAUUAGAGUGCUUAAAGCAGGCUAGUGCUUGAAUAGAUUAGCAUGGAAUAAUAAAAUAGGACGGCAUGGUUCUAUUUUGUUGGUUUCUAGGAUCACCGUAAUGAUUAAUAGGGAUAGUUGGGGGCAUUAGUAUUCAAUUGUCAGAGGUGAAAUUCUUGGAUUUAUUGAAGACUAACUUCUGCGAAAGCAUUUGCCAAGGAUGUUUUCAUUAAUCAAGAACGAAAGUUAGGGGAUCGAAGACGAUCAGAUACCGUCGUAGUCUUAACCAUAAACUAUGCCGACUAGGGAUCGGACGAUGUUAAUUUUAUAAUGACUCGUUCGGCGCCUUACGGGAACCA
rnacentral:rRNA from 1 species